AUAGGUUACCCUGCUGUAGGAUAAUUUUUGAAAUAAACCUGAUGAGUUGUUUUGGUUCUUUCUAGAGAGCAUUUUGCUCGCUUGUCAUCCUUAUGUCUCCACCUGUUCACAUUUUUUAGAACUGGAUAACUCUGUGAUAUGCCAACCACAGCAUUUUAGGUUGGAGGAAUUUGACUUUGUUGUCUUUCCUUACAUUUCUAGGUCUAUGUUCUUUUUCAUAUAAUCUUAUUGUGAUAUAAUGGACCCUAUAUAAUAUAAACUAUACAACUUUCUGCAACGGAUCUCUUGGCUCUCGCAUCGAUGAAGAACGCAGCGAAAUGCGAUAAGUAAUGGGAAUUGCAGAAUUCAGUGAAUCAUCGAAUCUUUGAACGCACCUUGCGCUCCUUGGUAUUCCGAGGAGCAUUCCUGUUUGAGUGUCAUUAAUAUAUCAACCUCUUUUAAAUUUUGAGUGUUUGGAUGUGGGGGUGUUAUUUUGCUGGCCUUUUCUAAAGGUCAGCACCCUGAAAUGUAUUAGCGGAACAAUUUGUUGACCGUUCAUUGGUGUGAUAGCAUAUCUACGCUAUUGACGUGAAGCAAGUUCAGCUUUAUAUAACAGUCCAUUGACUUGGACAAUUCUCUAUUUAUUAAUGUGACCUCAAAUCAGGUAGGACUUCCGCUGAACUUAAGCAUAUCAAUAAGCGGAGGAAAAGAUACUAACAAGGAUUCCCCUAGUAACUGCGAGUGAAGCGGGAAAAGCUCAAAUUUAAAAUUUGUCAGUCUUUGGCUGUCCUGUUAU
rnacentral:rRNA from 1 species